GCCCCAGGUAGAGUUGGCUCAGUCAGUAGAGCAUGAGACCCUUAAAUCUCAGGGUCGUCGGUUCAAGCCCCACAUUGGGCA